rnacentral:lncRNA from 1 species
AGCUAUCCUUAGAGGAUUUACAUGACUAGAUACAUCGUCUACGUUUACAUCACUAUCGCCUAUCACUAUCCUAGUCUCCGACACAGAGAACCUCUUGAAUACGGGAAACGAGCUCAGUAGGUCGGCCGAACCCUGCGUCGUUAUUAUAGGAGAACUAAACAAGUUGAUUCCCAUAAGCAUUUCUCACUGUUCCCCUAUGGACAAACAUUCGGUUGCCCAAAUGUGAUGCGCAAUACAUUCGAACAAGCUCAGAUAUUAUAUGCUGUCCGGAUGUCGCGCAUGAAAAACAUAAGUCUUCGAGUUACGGCCUCAAGAGGAUCACAGAGCAUAUAUUCGAAGGCAUCGCCAAAAGCUUGACUGAGUGCAGCAGAUCUCAGCCUUUCAUAAUACAGGUACUUCACACCAGAGGGGGUAAUAAAUUGAUCAUUUUCGCCACUUCCAUUUAUAUCAAAAGCAGACAACAUG